CCUACGGGUGCAGCAGUGGGGAAUAUUGGACAAUGGGCGAAAGCCUGAUCCAGCCAUGCCGCGUGUGUGAAGAAGGCCUUCGGGUUGUAAAGCACUUUCAGUAGGGAAGAAAGCCUUGGGGCUAAUACCCUCGAGGAAGGACAUCACCCACAGAAGAAGCACCGGCUAACUCCGUGCCAGCAGCCGCGGUAAUACGGAGGGUGCGAGCGUUAAUCGGAAUUACUGGGCGUAAAGCGCGCGUAGGCGGUCUGAUAAGCCGGUUGUGAAAGCCCCGGGCUCAACCUGGGAACGGCAUCCGGAACUGUCAGGCUAGAGUGCAGGAGAGGAAGGUAGAAUUCCCGGUGUAGCGGUGAAAUGCGUAGAGAUCGGGAGGAAUACCAGUGGCGAAGGCGGCCUUCUGGACUGACACUGACGCUGAGGUGCGAAAGCGUGGGUAGCAAACAGGAUUAGAUACCCCGGUAGUC
rnacentral:rRNA from 1 species